rnacentral:misc_RNA from 1 species
AGACCUAGCUGCUCUUGAAGUUCCAUCUCUUAAUGGAUAAGGUUUUUCUACUAACAUAUAGGAAUUUUUGAAGGAAGGAAAGCCGGAAAUACCCAAUAUCCUGUUGGAACAGGAUAUUGGGUAUUUCUUUGUUUAUUCUGAAUCUUUCUAUUCUGAAUUCAGUUAACGACGAGAUUUAGUAUCCUUUCUUGCACUUUCAUAACUCGUGAAAUGCCGAGUAGGCACGAAUUCCCCCAAUUUGCGACCUACCAYAGGAUUUGUUAUGUAAAUAGGUAUAUGUUCCUUUCCAUUAUGAAUCGCGAUUGUAUGGCCAACCAUUGCGGGUAGAAUGCUAGAUGCCCGGGACCACGUUACUAUUAUUUCUUUCUCCUCCUUCAUAUUGACCUUUUCUAUUUUUGCCAAUAAAUGACGAGCUACAAAAGGAUUCGUUUUUUUUCGUGUCACAGCUGAUUACUCCUUUUUUUUUCAUUUUAAA